AUUGAACGCUGGCGGCAGGCCUAACACAUGCAAGUCGAACGAGAGGCGGACGGGUGAGCAAUGUCGGGGAAAGUGCCUGAUGGAGGGGGAUAACUACGGGAAACGGUAGAUAAUAGCGAAAACCACGGGAUGGGGCCAGGUGGGAUUAGCUAGGAGGUGGGGUAACGGCUCACCUAGGCGACGAUCCCUAGCUGGUCUGAGAGGAUGACCAGCCACACUGGAACUGAGACACGGUCCAGACUCCUACGGGAGGCAGCAGUGGGGAAUAUUGCACAAUGGGCGCAAGCCUGAUCGAGCCAUGCCGCGUGUGUGAAGAAGGCCUUCGGGUUGUAAAGCACUUUCGGCGGGGAGGCGUUACCCGCAGAGGAAGCACCGGCUAACUCCGUGCCAGCAGCCGCGGUAAUUC
rnacentral:rRNA from 1 species